rnacentral:rRNA from 1 species
GGCGAAGUCUGAUGGAGCACGCCCGCGUGAGUGAUGAAGGGUUUUCGGAUCGUAAAACUCUGUUGUAAGGGAAGAACACGUACGAGAGGAAAUGCUCGUACCUUGACGGUACCUUACGAGAAAGCCACGGCUAACUACGUGCCAGCAGCCGCGGUAAUACGUAGGUGGCAAGCGUUGUCCGGAAUUAUUGGGCGUAAAGCGCGCGCAGGCGGCCUUUUAAGUCUGAUGUGAAAGCCCCCGGCUCAACCGGGGAGGGCCAUUGGAAACUGGAAGGCUUGAGUACAGAAGAGAAGAGUGGAAUUCCACUUGUAGCGGUGAAAUGCGCAGAGAUGUGGAGGAACACCAGUGGCGAAGGCGACUCUUUGGUCUGUCUCUGACGCUGAGUCGCGAACGCGUGUGUAGCAUACAGGUAUUUUAUACCCUGGUAUACUUCGCCCU